rnacentral:sRNA from 1 species
UUUGAGUCGCGUGAGGGAUAGUAGUGGAGCUCUUUUUAUGGCAGAGGAACGAAGUCAUAAAAAAGCGGGAACGAAUAGCCCGGCCCGCA